ensembl:lncRNA
AUGUUACAGAUGAGGAAACUGAGGCACAGGCAAGUUAAGUCACUUGUUCAGGCUCAUGCAGCCAGUAAGCAGAUGAGCUGGGAUUUGAACCUCUGCAGCCAGGCUCUCAAACUUGCACAAUAUUUCUUCUUUCCUACCAGGCACAGCAGUGAUAUUUGGCCCCUGGGAAGUGAAGGGCACCCCCGUAACCUGGUGGGUCCUGGUGCUGAUGGUUGUUGGCAACCUUGCACAGCACCACCUACUCGGGUCCAUCCUAAUGACAUCAGCCAAGGCCUCUACAGCAGCCCCCAAGCUGCCUCUGGAUAGUUUGGACAAGGCCUCUGUGCUGUGAUGGAACCAGGUGACCUGCAGCCUCCGGGCCAGGUGAGUGCUUUCUUGAUAUUUUCUUCCUGGUUCAUGCUAUAUUCUUCAGCACACAAUGGCAGAGGGGCAGCUCCAGCCUCUUCUGUGUUAUGAGCAAGGGAGGGGUUGGGGAGAGGAAUUGGCCCUGUGUUUAUGUGCUUCACCCAGCUUUGAUUCCAGUGCCAUGGACUUCCUGAAGGUCCUGGGGGUGUGGGUCAUGAGGCCAGGGAAGUAUGUUGGAAGUAUGGGCUCAUGGAAGAGGCAGGAGGAUCAGAGUUCAAAUCUUAGCUCUGCCUCCUUUUAGUUGUGUGAACUUGGGAAAAUCAUGCCCAAUUUAUAGGUGAGGACCUGGAGUCCCACAUCUUCCUUGCCAAACUGCUCUGAGGCUUGUUAGUGUGUCUGGUGCCAAACAUUGUGCCUGGCAUGGAGUUGGCAUUAUGUCACACCGUCCUUUUCCUGCCUUGUUUAUGAGCUUGGCUGGACCAGCAGCCUGGGCCAACACCUACCCUGUGCUCCAUCCCCAUACACUGAGAAUGAGGAAGACCCAAAGGGGUGCUUAUGGGGCCUCAGUGUGAUGGAUGAAGUCAUCAGCUCCUAAGAGAAUUAGCACUACAAUUGAUAGGUCGAUGACGUUGCUGGCUGGCUAGUUCACAGCCAUGGCUAGUUCCUACCAUCGCGUGGCUCUGGUGCUCACUGGGAGCUUGAGGUCGGUGGCUGCUCUCCAGAGGGCAGCUGUCUUACUACCACCUCCUGCAGGGAAUUUCUGGGUACUGCCUGUAGAGGACAUAGGCUGGUGGUACUAGGAAUCUAUUCUGGAGUGCAAUGGAUUAUAUUGCUUAGUUGUAAUAGGUUCAGUUGAGGAUUAAAACAAGCCUUGGGCUGAUGGCUGGUGACUUGGCUUGGCUGGGUGGGUGAGUGGAAGCGUACGCAUACACCUAGGUAUAUGUCUCAGUGCCAACUCCUGUGUAUGUAUGUUGCGAGGUCGGGGUGGGGUGGGGGCUGGGAUUAUCAUUAGGGUUUUCCCAUCUUGACAUCUAACCAGUGGCUUUAUCAAUGGACAAUUGUUUUAAAAGUGUUAUUCUGCACAAGUACUAUAUAUUAAUAUUAGAAAAACUGGAAAAAGUAGAGGUAACCACUGUCAACAUUUUGAAGUUUUUUCCCCUAUAAAUACAUGUGUUACUUUUUUCUUACAAAAUAGUAUGAUCCAGUUUUUUAAACUUGUUCUCUUUGCCUAAUAAUAUAUCAUGGCGGCCUUUUACCCUGACACCAUCAUUUGUGAUGGUUGCGUGGUAGGAAUGAUGGCCUGUGGUAUGAAUGUACUAUAGUUUUCAAAACCACACUCCUAUAUUUGGAUAUACAGGUUAUUUCUGGGUGUUAGCCUUCACAACUACAUUGUGACUAACAUCCUUGUUCCAGCAUUUUGGUGUACUUUUUUCUAAAGGAAAAGUUUGGAAGUUGAAUUUUGGGGUUAUGUGUCUUUUUUUUUUUUUUGAGUUGGGGUCUUACUCUAUCACCCAGGCUGGAGUACAGUGGUGCGAUCUUGGCUAACUGCAAUCUCUGCCUCCUGGGUUCAAACGAUUCUCCUGCCUCAGCCUCCCGAGUAGCUGGGAUUACAGGCACGCACUACCAUGCCCAGCUAAUUUUUUGGUAUUUUUAGUAGAGACGGGGUUUCACUAUAUUGUCCACGCUGGUCUCAAACUCCUGACCUUGUGAUCACCCCACCUCGGCCUCCCAAAGUGCUGGGAUUACAGGCGUGAGCCACCAUGACCGGCCUGCGUGUCUGUGUUUUUAAAGCUUCUGAUACUUUUAGCUAAAUUGCCUUCCAAAAAGUUAGUACUGAGCUAAGUCAAAGGAAAACAAUUCCUUUCCCCUUCUGCAUAUGUUCCCUGGGCCUGCCUUAAGUUUCUAAAGGAACAGGGGAGGGGACCAAUGUGUCAAAAAGCCCCUCAGGUCCCUGCAAGAUCUCUGAGAUGCUGAAUCCAUAUUACACAUGAGGGAUUGAGGCCCAGAGAGGUACAGGACCAAGUGUAUCUGCCUGAGGAGGGCCUGGGAGCCAUGGCCUGGCUGAGCCGAAGGCAUCACAGGGUGUGAUGGAGCCAGCUGCCUGCCCUGGGCCCAGUGACCUGGGAGGCAAAGGAAAGGCCUUGGGCUGGUGGUGAGAAGAGCCAGGCAGGAGGGUGGGAGAGCUCUGGACCUUCAGUCCCUGCUGGGCUUCUUCCUUAGGGACAGGGAGUCAGGGCUGUCUGGGUAGGGUGCAUGCCAGGGCGGGGAAGUCCAUUUAGGGGUUCUAGUGAGUUCCGGCCUCUCAACCCAGCCCUUCUCCAGCUCCAUCCUUCCCCUGUCCUGCCUACCAGGCUCUGGAGUGCAUCAUGGAGGCAGGGAUGGGCUGGCAUACAUUGGGUUCUCCUUAGAGGCUUGAGCGAGUGCCAAGCCCAGGGGAUGGUGGGGCUGGUGCCCAGAGGGACAACAGUCUAGUUGGGUGAUGGGAUGGAGCCCUUCAGUCCAGAGGUUAGGGAAUGGUGUCUGAGAAAGUGUGGGCUGUGGGAAUCCUUGUUUCGGGUGGUCCUUAUCAAGCACUAACCAUGGGCCAGAGCCUGGCCCAGGAGCUGGGGAUACACAGCCUAGGUGAAGAGGACACACCAGUCUCUGCCCUUAGGUGGUCACAGUCCCUUGGGGGAUGACUGACU